rnacentral:snRNA from 1 species
AUACUUACCUGGCGUAGGACUCAACUUUGAUCCAGAGUCCAGACGGAAGUUGUCCCAGGUCGAGGCCCUUACAUUGCACCGCGUUUGGGCUGACACUUGCGAUUGUCCCAAAUUGGGGUAACUCGGGCGCGCUGUC